GACGAACGCUGGCGGCGUGCCUAACACAUGCAAGUCGAGCGGAAAUAUUCUGAAGAGUAAUCGGAAGGAUAUUUUAGCGGCGGACGGGUGAGUAACACGUGGGCAACCUGCCCUGUACAGGGGGAUAACACUGGGAAACUAGUGCUAAUACCGCAUGAUACGCGAAGAUGGCAUCAUUUUUGCGUCAAAGGAGAAAUCCGGUACAGGAUGGGCCCGCGUCCGAUUAGCUAGUUGGUGAGGUAAUGGCUCACCAAGGCGACGAUCGGUAGCCGGAUUGAGAGGUUGAACGGUCACAUUGGGACUGAGACACGGCCCAGACUCUACGGGAGGCAGCAGUGGGGAAUAUUGCACAAUGGGGGAAACCCUGAUGCAGCGACGCCGCGUGAAGGAAGAAGGUCUUCGGAUUGUAAACUUCUUUGAUUGGGGACGAAAUAUGACGGUACCCAAGGAACAAGCCACGGCUAACUACGUG
rnacentral:rRNA from 1 species